AUUGAACGCUGGCGGAAUGCUUUACACAUGCAAGUCGAACGGCAGCACGGGGGCAGCCCUGGUGGCGAGUGGCGAACGGGUGAGUAAUACAUCGGAACGUGCCCGGUCGUGGGGGAUAACGUAGCGAAAGUUACGCUAAUACCGCAUACGAUCUGAGGAUGAAAGCGGGGGACCUACGGGCCUCGCGCGAUCGGAGCGGCCGAUGUCAGAUUAGGUAGUUGGUGGGGUAAAGGCCUACCAAGCCGACGAUCUGUAGCUGGUCUGAGAGGACGACCAGCCACACUGGGACUGAGACACGGCCCAGACUCCUACGGGAGGCAGCAGUGGGGAAUUUUGGACAAUGGGCGCAAGCCUGAUCCAGCCAUUCCGCGUGCAGGACGAAGGCCUUCGGGUUGUAAACUGCUUUUGUACGGAACGAAAAGGCUCUGGCUAAUACCUGGGGCUCAUGACGGUACCGUAAGAAUAAGCACCGGCUAACUACGUG
rnacentral:rRNA from 1 species